AAGUCGUAACAAGGUUUCCGUAGGUGAACCUGCGGAAGGAUCAUUAAUGAAUUUAGGGAAUUGAUGCUGGCCCUUGUGCAUGUGCUCGUUCCCUCUAAUCCAUACACACCUGUGCACUUGUUUAUCGGAGUCGCUAGUAAAAUAGAGACUCUGGUUAAUCACAUACUCUUAUAAUUUACUUUGAAUGUUUAUCAAGUCGAAAGACUUUUAAAUUAAUACAACUUUUAACAACGGAUCUCUUGGCUCUCGCAUCGAUGAAGAACGCAGCGAAAUGCGAUAAGUAAUGUGAAUUGCAGAAUUCAGUGAAUCAUCGAAUCUUUGAACGCACCUUGCGCUCCUUGGUAUUCCGAGGAGCACGCCUGUUCGAGUGUCAUGAAGCUCUCAAGCGAUAAUAACUUUAUUGUUGUUAUUUAGCUUGGAUUUGGGACCUGCUGUGUUACAACGGCUGUCCCUAAAUGUAUUAGCCGGCUCUAAUGGAAGACUAGGUUCUUACUCGGUGUGAUAAUUAUCUUACGCUGAGGACAUUUCUCUUGUAAAAGGGAGAGAUGGCCAAGACUACUUUUAGGCUGCUUCUAAUCGUCUCUUCUGACAAACAAAUUAUUCAAAUCUGACCUCGAAUCAGGUGGGACUACCCGCUGAACUUAAGCAUAUCAAUAAGCGGAGGAAAAGAAACUAACAAGGAUUCCCCUAGUAACGGCGAGUGAAGCGGGAAAAGCUCAAAUUUAAAAUCUGGUAGCCUUUGGUUAUCCGAGUUGUAAUCUAGAGAAGUAUUUUCCGCGUUGGACCAUGUACAAGUUUCCUGGAACGGAACGUCAUAGAGGGUGAGAAUCCCGUCCUUGACAUGGACUACCAGUGCUUUGUGAUAUACUCUCAAA
rnacentral:sRNA from 1 species